ensembl:lncRNA
GAGUAACCCCAGCUUCCCUCUGCACUCAACUGAUGGGUGCUGCACCGUGCUUCUUCAGGCUGUGCCCUCUACGCCGUGCUCUUGCAGCAGGGAAUAGGACAGCAUGCUCCCUGCUGGAAGCAGGAAUAGGGCAGAGUCCUUGGGUGAGCUGAGAAGCACGAUGUUAUCCCAGCCCUACAAUGGCUGUGCGGGGUCCUCAUGCACAGAGGAGCACUGCCCCAGUUUGCCCUCUGUGCUUCCAUCACCCCAUCCGCUCGCAUCGCUGCCCCACUUUGGCUGUGAUUCAUUAUCAGCUAUUCCAGUUUUGCUGUCUCUUUGCAGCACCAAAUAGAAUGAAUGAAUUUUUGCACCCGAAAUAAGUUCUGUAGGCAGGGAGGAGCUGGUGACGUGCAGUGCUGUCUGCCCAUCCCUGUUUGACUUAAUCCUCUCCAUCUGACCCCAAUUCAGAAUAUAUGUUGGUUCUUCUUUUUACUCCUGGUGUGAUUUUUGGACUUUGAGUAACAAAAACAAGCCUUGCUGCGUUCCUCUUCAGCCAUCUGAGCUCCAUCCACGCUCCCUGGUGAGCACGGAGCCCUUUGUCAGUGUGAAGCUGGGAGAUUUCUGGGUCUCUUACCUUCAACAAGACUGCACGCUGUUCUCGCAAGAGCUGCUGCUCAGGCAUCUCUCAGUUGUGCUGGAUGAAUCUCUCUUGCUCCAUUUCCCAGCACGCAAAAAGCAGGGGGGCACAUACAUCCCCACACUCUUUUCUCGCAGCCUCUUUUGGGGCUGCUUCUGCCCAGCAGCACUAUCAAGUUUGUAGUAACACGGAGUUUUACAGCAGCCUUCCUUCUCCCCAGCCUAAGCCCACCCCCUCUCCCCCCAGCUGGUUGCACUUCCACCUUUCAGGUCCUGUAACUCUACAAAUACCUCUUGCAUCUGAAGAAUGUAUUCUUGAAACCAUUUCUAGGAUUCUCGUUCCAGUUGAGUGUUUAUCAGUAUUUCUUUUCUUACAGUAGGAGGAUGCUGCAGAACUGUUUACCUGCCUUCUGGUGUUAUGUUUGGGGUCUCGAGGUCAUUCAGCCCCCUUUCUCUUUUUGCCCUCGGUUGCCCAGUGAGGUUUGCUCCCAUACAUCGCUGUCCUGAAGGAGCUUUGCUGCUGCUGGGUAGGGCUGGGCUGCCCAACAGAAAUGGGAGUCCUGAACUGUCUGAAUGAGGUUGGUGCAGGACUGGGGCUGUGUGUGCCAUGGGGUGCUUGUGGGGAGCACAGGGCGAAGAGAGCGGUGCUCAGCGGUUUCUGUGGUGGUAUCUCCAUCCAGCACACAAAAACCUUCAUUUCCUCCUUGCAGCUGCUUCUGUGAAACUGAAUCAGUUUCUCAUUUGUAAACAAGUAGAUGGCGUUGCUGUUGAUUUAUGCCCGAUGGUUUUGAUUUGGGGGAUGAGAAGAGCCCUGCCUGCUGCUUCUCAAAGCGUCGGGUCAGCCCCUGGGCCGAGCAGCAGCACAGUGCUGUGCGUGGCAGCUCCUAUUGCUGCAGAGCCCUCAGGUUCAGAGGGCACAGCAUGGGCCCAGGAGCUGGGUCAGUCUGCCUGGUGCCAGGAAAAGGGCUUCUCAGAAAGCAGCUCUUGGGGUACCCCUUCUUCAGGCCUUGAAAUCACCAAACUGUAACUUGUUCCUUAAGCUUUCACCCUGCUGUGUUGCAAUGGAGCAGUUGUGUGUUUCACGCCUUUAUUUUGCACCCAUUGCAAAGGCUGAGAGCACCUGAGGUCGGCUGUAGCAGCUCGGGGUGUCCUUGCUGUGCACAGCAGCUGCCUCUGGGCUCCCCAGCUUUGGGCCUGGAGGGGAUGUAUGAGGACCCCGGUUCUGUGCAGAGUGAUGGCUGAGCCCUGUUUGCUCCUCAGCACCUGAGCUGCUUCCACUGCCCCCAUCCGCGUUUCCCAACAGAAGGGCCCAGAGUUACUCUGGGUGGGUGAUGGUUACCUGAAGAUCAGCAUGGCUGAGCAAAGAAAGAGAAAUUCUGCUUUGCAUUGGAGCAGAAAGCAACGUGUGAGCCGGGGGGGUGUUGCACCAUGCAGUGGGUCGGGGUGCAGUCGGUCAGUCGGGUGCUACAGAGCGCGGCUGUUGUAUGACUUUCCCGUUGCUGAAGCACAGCUUUAGGUUGGUGCAGGAUGCGGGGCCGGGUGCCUGCGCUCCCAGCAGUGUGAGGGCUGUGCUUGCUGUGAUGCCUCUGUGGAAUUGCAUGGGGAAAAGAAAAUCACAGUGAUGUUUUGAAGCAUCCGGCUUGGCUGGGAGUUGUUUCUUUGCUGCGUCCCCGUGUUCCUACACCUCCCAGCCCCGCACAUGCAGCCCUGUGGCUGUCAGCAGCGCCGUCCCCGCCUGCAGAACCGGAGCCAGGUUGUGUCGGAGCUCUCCCUGUACAUAGAGAACCGCGUCUUACCUCCGACUCGUCGCUGCCGAUCUGUAAUCAACUGUAUAUGAAACCGUUUUGCUGUAUCGCAGGUCAUUUCACGCUGCCUUAGAUGUAGAAAAGCCGAGAACGUAUCCCACAAUACACUUUGUCAACUUGAAGUCUGUUGGCUGUUUUGGUUUUGCUUCGGCACGGCUCCCAUCGCAGCCCCGAGCCGUUCACACGUUGCUCCGAAGCGUUGUGGUUCGGAGCGGCGGUUUUUGAGCCCUUGCUUUUCAGUCUGGCUUUUCACGGCGCCUCUUGGAUCACCCGUGAAGCUGCCGGGUUGGUUUCUGAUGAGGCACACACGUAGGUGGUGUCUGAAAUGCUGGAGGAGUUCGUGGCCCAGAGCUGCCGUGCUGGGUGCAGGCGUGCAGCAGGCGGCGUGGAUGCUUUCUUCUGAACAGAGGAGCCUUGUUUGCAUGGCCACAACCCGCCUGGGAUGGCGUUAUUCUGGAACAAGAGCCCCCAGGACAAGGAUCUGCUUUCCUGGGCAGCUGCUGAAGGUGAGCCGAGCCAUGCCUGUGGGUCUGUCAGAAGGGAAGACGGAGCAGAAUGCAUCUGGGGCUGCCACGGGUGGCUCAGCAUCGCAGUGCAUCUCUGCCACCACGGCCCUCCCAUCCCUCAGCUGUGGUUUGGUGGAGGACUGUGCAUUGCUGGACCUUGGCCUGGAGGAUUGGAGGUGUCCUUGGGUCCCCUGAAGCCCCACUGCUCUGCUGCCUCCUGGCGCUGCUGAGCACAGACCCCCAUGACCAUACCCACAGCCCUGUUCCUACCUCUGUGCCGGGGCUGUGCCGGACCUUCCGCUCGGAUCCUGGAGCAUUGGGUCCAGCUGUGUCCCAGAGCCAUGGAGGAGUGACAUCUGGUUCUGCGAGUGCUGAUGUACUGCUCCUUCCUGUGCUUUCAACCUUAUUUCCCAAAGAUGAGGUAAGUAGCAGAGCGCUCUCAGCACAGCCGGUGGGCAGCAGCGGUGUUCCACCAGUGCCCGUCUGUGUGCCCCGGUGUCCCUGGGUGUCAUCCUGCUGCCGUGGGUGGAAGCUGCUCAGGUGUUACCUGCUGGAUUUCUGUUGUAGGUCGUGGUGAUUGUGAACUGCCAAGGGGUGGUUUUUAAUAAAUCUUAUGAUGGUAUUUCAAA